UGCAGUGACAUCAGGGCCCAGUCCCUGCUGUCAUGCCCCAGGUGACGUGCCCGGGCUGACAGCAGGGCGGGCCGCUAACGUCACUGUC
ensembl:miRNA